AUGCAUUGAGACUUUCUCCGAACCACAAAACAGAAAGAAACACCGUGUUCACCGAGGAGACGCAUCCUGGAGUAACGUGUGCAAAGACCUGGGAGUGCCAAAUCAUUGUACAAAUCGUACAACACUUAAUCAUGUUGCUCUGCACUACCAAAAGAGAACCAUGGAAGUCAGACACAAACCCAAAAAUAUCCAUGUUGAAGGUGAUAGUGGGACCUCUGGAGAGAACACAUCUUCUUUGGAUGAAGGAAACACUGGAGAUGUGUCCAUCUGCAAUGGAAGGAAAUGAAUCUCUAUUUGCUCAAACAGGUUG